rnacentral:rRNA from 1 species
CCUACGGGGGGCUGCAGUGAGGAAUAUUCCUCAAUGGCCGAAAGGCUGAAGGAGCGACGCCGCGUGCGGGAUGAAGGGCUUCGGCUCGUAAACCGCUUUUAUUUGGGACGAAUUCUGACGGUACCAAAUGAAUAAGAGGUUGCUAACUCUGUGCCAGCAGCAGCGGUAAUACAGAGACCUCAAACGUUGUCCGGAUUUAUUGGGCGUAAAGGGUCCGCAGGUGGCCGUGCGCGUCGGGUGUUAAAUGUCGGGGCUCAACUUCGACACUGCACUCGAUACGGCAUGGCUAGAGGCCGGAAGAGGCACACGGAAUUGCCGGUGUAGUAGUAAUAUGCGUUAAUAUCGGCAAGAACGCCAAAUGCGAAAGCAGUGUGCUGGUACGGUUCUGACACUCAGGGACGAAAGCGUGGGGAGCAAACGGGAUUAGAUACCCCGGUAGUC